CGUAAUCCGGGUUGCGGACAGUGUCUGGUGGGUAGUUUGACUGGGGCGGUCUCCUCCUAAAGAGUAACGGAGGAGCACGAAGGUUGGCUAAUCCUGGUCGGACAUCAGGAGGUUAGUGCAAUGGCAUAAGCCAGCUUGACUGCGAGCGUGACGGCGCGAGCAGGUGCGAAAGCAGGUCAUAGUGAUCCGGUGGUUCUGAAUGGAAGGGCCAUCGCUCAACGGAUAAAAGGUACUCCGGGGAUAACAGGCUGAUACCGCCCAAGAGUUCAUAUCGACGGCGGUGUUUGGCACCUCGAUGUCGGCUCAUCACAUCCUGGGGCUGAAGUAGGUCCCAAGGGUAUGGCUGUUCGCCAUUUAAAGUGGUACGCGAGCUGGGUUUAGAACGUCGUGAGACAGUUCGGUCCCUAUCUGCCGUGGGCGCUGGAGAACUGAGGGGAGCUGCUCCUAGUACGAGAGGACCGGAGUGGACGCAUCACUGGUGUUCGGGUUGUCAUGCCAAUGGCACUGCCCGGUAGCUAAAUGCGGAAGAGAUAAGUGCUGAAAGCAUCUAAGCACGAAACUUGCCCCGAGAUGAGUUCUCCCUGAGACUUAGAGUCUCCUGAAGGAACGUUGAAGACGACGACGUUGAUAGGCCGGGUGUGUAAGCGCAGCGAUGCGUUGAGCUAACCGGUACUAAUGAACCGUGAGGCUUAACCUU
rnacentral:rRNA from 1 species